rnacentral:sRNA from 1 species
AUCGAAUAGCUUGACAGGCUGUGGCGGGCCCCCCUCCCUGGAGGUUGUGCACGCUUGUCAUCUUUAUCAUUUCUCCAACUGACUACAUAUUGUAGACCUGGAGCUUUUGGAAUUCGUUCCGAGUUGGGACUGCUGCGCUUCAUUUUCUGAGAGGUCGGCUUUUCCUUGGAUUUUUCAGGUCUAUGUUCAUUUCUUCACAACCCCUGUAAAAUGCGCUUAGAAUGCUUGAAUCAUAAUAAAAGUUUAUACAACUUUCAGCAACGGAUCUCUUGGCUCUCGCAUCGAUGAAGAACGCAGCGAAAUGCUUAAGUAAUGUGAAUUGCAGAAUUCAGUGAAUCAUCUAAUCUUUGAACGCAUCUUGCGCUCCUUGGUAUUCCGAGGAGCAUGCCUGUUUGAGUGUCAUUUAACUUCUCAACCGCGUCUAUUCCGAUGUGGCUUGGAUGUGGGGGUUUUUUCUUUUGCAGGCCUCUGAAUGAGGUCGGCUCCCCUGAAAUUUAUUAGUGGUAUCUGAGCAGAACUACUAUACCAUGGAGCGUGAGAUGUUAUCUAUGCCUUUGGUGUGCUGCAUGAACAGAUUGUGCUGCUUCUAACGCAAAAACAUAUUUGACCAACUUGACCUCAAACACG